UACGUAGGGGGCUAGCGUUGUCCGGAAUCAUUGGGCGUAAAGAGCGCGUAGGCGGCCAGAUAAGUCCGGUGUGAAAGUCACAGGCUCAACCUGUGAAUGCCGCUGGAAACUGUCUGGCUAGAGUCCGGGAGGGGCGAGUGGAAUUCCUGGUGUAGCGGUGAAAUGCGCAGAUAUCAGGAGGAACACCAAUUGCGAAGGCAGCUCGCUGGGACGUUACUGACGCUGAGACGCGAAAGCGUGGGGAGCAAACAGG
rnacentral:rRNA from 1 species